GGUUGAUCCUGCCAGUAGUCAUAUGCUUGUCUCAAAGAUUAAGCCAUGCAUGUCUAAGUGUAAACAAAUUUAUACUGUGAAACUGCGAAUGGCUCAUUAAAUCAGUUAUAGUUUAUUUGAUAGUACCUUACUACUUGGAUAACCGUGGUAAUUCUGCAGCUAAUACAUGCAACAAGUCCCGACUUUUUGGAAGGGAUGUACUUAUUAGAUUUAAGCCAACCCGGGCAACCGGAUUUCAGGUGAUUCAUGAUAAUUUUUCGAAUCGUAUGGCUUCAUGCCGACGAUGGUUCAUU
rnacentral:rRNA from 1 species